CCUACGGGAUGCAGCAGUGAGGAAUAUUGGUCAAUGGACGAGAGUCUGAACCAGCCAAGUAGCGUGAAGGAUGACUGCCCUAUGGGUUGUAAACUUCUUUUAUAUGGGAAUAAAAUGUUCCACGUGUGGGACUUUGUAUGUACCAUAUGAAUAAGGAUCGGCUAACUCCGUGCCAGCAGCCGCGGUAAUACGGAGGAUCCGAGCGUUAUCCGGAUUUAUUGGGUUUAAAGGGAGCGUAGGUGGAUUGAUAAGUUAGUUGUGAAAGUUUGCGGCGCAACCGUAAAAUUGCAGUUGAAACUGGGAGUCUUGAGUGCAGUAGAGGUGGGCGGAAUGCGUGGUGUAGCGGUGAAAUGCUUAGAUAUCACGAAGAACUCCGAUUGCGAAGGCAGCUCACUGGACUGCAACUGACGCUGAGGCUCGAAAGUGUGGGUAUCAAACAGGAUUAGAUACCCCAGUAGUC
rnacentral:rRNA from 1 species